rnacentral:rRNA from 1 species
UACGGGGGGGGCAAGCGUUGUUCGGAAUUACUGGGCGUAAAGGGCUCGUAGGUGGCCAACUAAGUCAGACGUGAAAUCCCCCGGCUUAACCGGGAACUGCGUCUGAUACUGGAUGGCUUGAGUUCGGGAGAGGGAUGCGGAAUUCCAGGUGUAGCGGUGAAAUGCGUAGAUAUCAGGAAGAACACCCGUGGCGAAGGCGGCCCACUGGUCCGGUACUGACGCUGAGGUGCGAAAGCGUGGGGAGCAAACAGG